rnacentral:rRNA from 1 species
AGAGCAUUUGGUGGAUGCCUUGGCAUAAAGAGGCGAUGAAGGACGUGACAGACUGCGAUAAGCUCGGGCUUGCUGUCAAUAAGCUUAACCCGAGAUUUCCGAAUGGGGAAACCCGAUUACUUAUAAGUGAAUUCAUAGCUUAUAAGGGCGAACCUAGGGAACUGAAACAUCUAAGUACCUAGAGGAAAAGAUAUUCCGUUAGUAGUGGCGAGCGAACGCGGACCAGGCCAGUGCUACUUUUUACUAAACCAGAACUGUAUGGAAAGGCAGGCCAUAGUGAGUGAUAGCCUCGUAUGGGUAGAUAGUAAAAACUAGACAUGAGUAGGGCGGGACACGUGAAAUCCUGUCUGAAUAUAGGAAGACCACUUCCUAAGCCUAAAUACUACUUUAUGACCGAUAGUGAACCAGUACCGUGAGGGAAAGGCGAAAAGAACCCCUAGCAGGGGAGUGAAAUAGAACCUGAAACCGCAUGCCUACAAUCAGUCGAAGCUCUUUUUAGAGUGACGGCGUACCUUUUGUAUAAUGGGUCAGUGACUUAAUUUAUAAAGCAAGCUUAAGCCAUCUAGGUGUAGGCGCAGCGAAAGCAAGUCUUAAUAGGGCGAUUAGUUUUAUGAAUUAGACCCGAAAACGAAUGAGCUUACCAUGAGCAGGUUGAAAGCAAGGUAACACUUGCCGGAGGACCGAACCAGUUGACGUUGAAAAGUCUUUGGAUGACUUGUGGUAAGGGGUGAAAGGCCAACCAAAUUCGUAGAUAGCUGGUUUUCCGCGAAAACUAUUUAGGUAGUGCGUCGUGUGAAUCUUGUCGGGGGUAGAGCACUGAAUGGGCUAGGGGGAAGCAAUUCCUACCAAACCUAAUCAAACUCCGAAUACCGAUAAGUCUGCACGGCAGACAGUCCAUGGGUGCUAAGGUCCUUGGACGAGAGGGAAACAGCCCAGAUCAACAGCUAAGGUCCCCAAAUAAUGAUUAAGUGUGAAAGGGAGUGGGAACUCCAAGACAGCCAGGAGGUUGGCUUAGAAGCAGCCAUCCUUUAAAGAUAGCGUAACAGCUCACCGGUCUAAUAGAGUUUCUGCGCCGAAGAUGUAACGGGGCUAAAAUCACAUACCGAAUCUGUGGGUUUAUAAAGUUUUCGAACUUUAUAAGCGGUAGCGGAACGUUCUGUAAGCCUGUAAAGGGAUACCCGUGAGGGAUCCUGGAGGUAUCAGAAGUGCGAAUGCUGACAUAAGUAACGAUUAACAGAGUGAAAAACUCUGUCGCCGAAAAUCCAAGGGUUCCUGCGCAAGGUUAAUCCGCGCAGGGUUAGUCGGUCCCUAAGUCGAGGGCGAGAGCCGUAGACGAUGGAAACAAGGUUAAUAUUCCUUGACCAGAUGGAAGUGACGGAUUUUGUAAGUUGUUAACUCUUAAUGGAUUGAGUUAGCCGCGAAAAAGUCCCAGGAAAUAGCUCCAUCAUUAGACCGUACCCUAAACCGACACAGGUGGAUUAAUAGAGUAUAUUUAGGCGCUUGAGAGAAUGAUGUUGAAGGAACUCGGCAAAAUGCUUCUGUAACUUCGGAAUAAAGAAGACCUUUUUUAGGGCAACCUAUUAAAGGUGGCACAAGCCAGGGAGAAGCGACUGUUUAUCAAAAACACAGGGCUCUGCUAACACGUAAGUGGAUGUAUAGGGUCUGACGCCUGCCCGGUGCUGGAAGGUUAAUGCGAUGGGUGCAAGCUCAUUUCUGAAGCCCCAGUAAACGGCGGCCGUAACUAUAACGGUCCUAAGGUAGCGAAAUUCCUUGUCGGGUAAGUUCCGACCUGCACGAAUGGCGUAACGAUGGCCACACUGUCUCCACCAUAGACUCAGUGAAAUUGAAUUCUCGGUUAAGAUGCCGAGUAACCGUGGUUAGACGGAAAGACCCCGUGCACCUUUACUACAGGUUCACACUGGACUUUGACUUUAUUUGUGUAGGAUAGGUGGGAGACUUUGAAGCUAGGACGCUAGUCUUAGUGGAGUCGUCCUUGAAAUACCACCCUUGUAUGUUUGAUGUUCUAACAUUGUUCCCUUAUCGGGAAUGUGGACAGUGU